UUGGAAUGUAAACGGUUUAUUAGAGUAGUAGUAGUUAUUUUCUUGAAACUUAAAAAAUUUGGCGGUAUUUUAGUCUAAUCAGAGGAAUCUGCCCUGUAAUCGAUAAUCCGCGUUGGACCUUUCUUAGACUUGUAAAGUUUAUAUACCGUCGUUAUGAAAAACUUUUUUAGAAUAACAGUUUUUAAUAAUUAAUAUUAUAAUAUAUAUCAGAUCAAGGUGUAGCUUAUGUUUAAGGAGAGGUGGAUUACAAUAAUUUUAAUUUUAUGGAUUUUUUAUUGAAAGAUAAGGAUGAAAUUGGAUUUGAAAGUAAGUUAUUAAAGAUUGAAUAGCUGAAAUUAGCUCUAAAGUAUGUAC
rnacentral:rRNA from 1 species